rnacentral:rRNA from 1 species
CAGUAGCCGCGGGAAAACGUAGGUGGCAAGCGUUGUCCGGAAUUAUUGGGCGUAAAGCGCGCGCAGGUGGUUCCUUAAGUCUGAUGUGAAAGCCCCCGGCUCAACCGGGGAGGGUCAUUGGAAACUGGGGAACUUGAGUGCAGAAGAGGAUAGUGGAAUUCCAAGUGUAGCGGUGAAAUGCGUAGAGAUUUGGAGGAACACCAGUGGCGAAGGCGACUGUCUGGUCUGUAACUGACACUGAGGCGCGAAAGCGUGGGGAGCAAACAGGAUUAGAUACCCGCGUAGUCCCUGUCUCUUAUAC